AUAUCCAUUUCUUAAAACUUAUUUUGAGAUGGAGAUGACAAGACUUUACUGUAAGAAUUAAGAUGUAAAUUUCAUAAGGAAAUGUUAUCAUUACAGGACUGUUUUGGUAUUAUUAGAAAGUCUAGCAGGGACAAAACAUAAAUAUGUACGUUUAAGACCACGUAUUGAUGGACCAGGAGAGGCCAUAUUGUUUGACCCAAUAGUUAGAGAAAAUGUGUUGUAUAAAGAAAUAAAGAAAAUCAAGACACUAAAAGAUAAGAAGAGAGAUAAAACUGGACAUAAAAGAUGAAAUAGGAGAAUGAACAUAGAAAUAGUGAUGGUAUUAUGAAUGUUGUGAAUAGAAUAUUGUGAACACAACUGGUUUGUGAAGUGGACUUUACAAGAAGACUGUAAAGAGAAAGAUUUAUAUAUACAACAGAGUAUGUGUAUAAACAUUGCCAAAUAAACAUUGAAUUUACAAAAUAAACAUGUAUGUCUUGUGCAUUAA